AAGAACAUGUACAUCAGCAUCUAAAGAAUUUCAAACUCCUGAAAUGAUCCUUUUCCUCUGUUGCCAUGAACAUAGUUGACCAGAUAAAAAAACCGAUGAUGGUGGUCUUCAGCUCUCAAGUCUAAUUUUGGAAAGGAAUUAGACAAACUCAUGGAGAAUCUAUUACUAUGCUUGCGUGAUAUAUUUGCUUGUCAUUUAAUCAUCUGAAUCGAUUAAAUCAAUUUUGUAUAUUUGCAUUGGCCCAUAAAACCGGAUCUCUUUGUUCAACAUACUAGGCUAAAAUGUCCUUGGGUACCAUUCAUUAUUCAAUCCAUUAUAUAAAUGCAGCCCGUGGCCUCUGUUCAUAACAGGUGUUUUGCUGCUGCAAGUAUCAGUAGUGACAUAAUUUGUAAAAUAUCAGUUGCUCAGAAGCAAUAGGGGAAAAAAAUCUUAUCCUCUAAGUCUUUCUUGUAGACUUAGUCUUCAUUUUGAUUGGUUAUUAUGGGAAGAAUGCUGGUGGAUUGGUAAAUUUGCAGUCUAAUAUUACUCUUCUAGCCGUCUGUUUAAAUUAAUGUGGCUGAUAAUAACUCCUUUUGGAUACUUAAACAGAAGACAGCUACCAUAUUGAAUUGUUCCCUUCAACAUGUACGCUGAAUUUUUAUAACUCAAUGAUUCAUAAAUUAGUGAAUUACACUUUAGCCCAAAGUAUGGGAAGCUGAAGCAAUUCCUAUGUACUCUAAAGCAAAAAAAUAUUUCUGCAAAAACUUUAAUGGCAUGCAAUUCACUAAAGACAGUUAUUUUGAUUUUAUACUGUAUAUCCCAAGUGAAUGUAUUGAAUAAUGCACUGUAAAUGUUCUGUAUUGAAAUCACAGUCUGUUUGUGUUGAAAUAUCUUAUUAGCCUUCUGUUGAAAAAGAUAGCUUUAUUAUGGCUAUGGUUUUGGGCUUUUUCUUUCACAGUCACUCAUCAGUACCAGGACUGGCUAAUCAACAGCUGAAAAACAGUUAAGGAGAUGUAUGUGUAAACUUGGAUGAAUUAAACUGAAGUGAUAAUG